CCUACGGGAGGCAGCAGUGGGGAAUAUUGGACAAUGGGGGGAACCCUGAUCCAGCCAUGCCGCGUGUGUGAAGAAGGCCCUCGGGUUGUAAAGCACUUUCAGUGAGGAAGAACGCCUGGUGGUUAAUACCCAUCAGGAAAGACAUCACUCACAGAAGAAGCACCGGCUAACUCCGUGCCAGCAGCCGCGGUAAUACGGAGGGUGCGAGCGUUAAUCGGAAUUACUGGGCGUAAAGCGCGCGUAGGUGGCUUGAUAAGCCGGCUGUGAAAGCCCCGGGCUCAACCUGGGAACGGCAUCCGGAACUGUCAAGCUAGAGUGCAGGAGAGGAAGGUAGAAUUCCCGGUGUAGCGGUGAAAUGCGUAGAGAUCGGGAGGAAUACCAGUGGCGAAGGCGGCCUUCUGGACUGACACUGACACUGAGGUGCGAAAGCGUGGGUAGCAAACAGGAUUAGAUACCCUUGUAGUC
rnacentral:rRNA from 1 species